UCCCUGGUGGCUCAGAUGGUAAAGCGUCUGCCUGCAAUGCAGGGGACCCGGGUUCGAUUCCUGGGUUGGGAA
rnacentral:tRNA from 1 species